UUAGCUCCUAUGAUUAGAUAAUAAGUAUUUCCAGCAAUUUCCCGCCACUGGCAGACGAGAAGAGGAAGAAGAAGGUUGAAGUUGACGAAGGGAAGCAAUGGAGUUGAGUUUGAGCGGGAACGCCCUCAAGACCUUCGCGCGCUCCGUCACCUGCCUUGCGCGUGUUGGCAACGACCUAGCCAUUCAAUCUUCUCCUUCUCAGCUUGCUCUUCACACUCUUAAUUCGUCGCGGUCUGCCUUUAACUCGAUUACAUUUAAACCUGGCUUCUUUGAUAUCUAUACAAUUUCUGGCAAUCAAGUCGAAUGUAGCGUGCUGUUAAAGGCUGUUUGUUCUGUACUAAGGACGCCUGUAGCAAGCAUAGAUAGCUUGAGCAUUAAAUUGCCUGAUUCCGAUGCAUCGAAAGUGCAGUGGACCUUGGAGUGCUUUAAUGGUAUGAGAAAAACCUACUGGAUUACUUGCAACGUCGAACCAAAUAUACAACAGUUGUCCCUGGAUAGAAGAAAAUUCCCAAGUAACUUUGUAGUAAAGCCUCGAGAUCUCAACAGAUUGCUAACUAACUUUCAAUCAUCCCUUCAGGAGAUCACUAUUAUAGCAACAGAACCCAAUUCAUUGCCUUGUGAUGUAGCAAGUGAAAUUGGAGGCAAAGCUGUUGAACUUAGAAGUUAUAUAGACCCAACGAAAGAAAAUGACUCAUCACUGCAUACUCAACUAUGGAUAGAUCCCAUGGAGGAGUUCGUUCAGUACACCCACACUGGAGACCCGGUAGAUGUGACUUUUGGUGUGAAGGAAUUGAAGGCAUUUCUUUCUUUUUGUGAAGGCUGUGAAGUGGACAUUCACCUAUUCUUUGAGAAAGCUGGCGAGCCUAUUCUUAUGGCACCAAAAUUUGGUGUAGAUGAUGCUUCUAAUUCAAACUUUGACGCCACAUUUGUACUUGCAACCAUGUUGACAUCACAACUCCAUGAAAGCCAUCCUCAGCAAAGUGCACAAGCUGAUACCACAAGGCAUGUAGGGGCUGAUAAUGGAACGGCGUCCCAAGGACAAGUCAAGACUGGAGCAAAUAUUUCUGAGCAUCCAUCUGACCACACCAGAAUUUGGUCCGAUCUCUCAGGAAGCGCUGCAAAAAAUGGAAAUGGCAAUGAAGGAAGACAGGUUCGAGAGGAACAAAAUUUAAAUGCUAGUGAACAGAGAGAAAUUAAUAGGAUCAGUGCAAUGCAUAUAUCUAAAUCGGCAUCAGAUAGAGAAAAUGAACCUGUUAACCCUAACACCUUCAACAUGGAAAAGGAUUGUAUCAACGAACAUCAAGAUAUUAAUGGUCAAGGUGUUUCACAACGCCAUCUCAGUAACUGGGUGGAUGCCAAUGAAGAUGAUGACGAUGAUGAGGAAGAAGAGGCUGAAAUUUAUGUUCAGUCGACACCACCAUAUCAUUAAGAAUGUUAGAGCUUCCAGUGCACUGUUUGAUCAGCUGAUAUCUGUUCUCUUCUUUUUGAUGCCUACCUUUUUGUUCAAGAUCGAAAUAUGCCCAUAAAAAUGUAAUAGACUGGACUGGACGUGUAGAAGAAUGUGAUCAAAGAACUGGUGACAGGAUAAUAUGUGUGGAGCAUGUUUGUACCUAGACAUGGUAUUCUUAUUUGAGGGUAACGUCCAGAAUAAUUCAAAGGCAAAACGAUUAGAUUUAGUUUUUCAACAAGUAUUAUCUAAACAGGUUCCAUGUCUUGUAAUUCUCUAAGCAAAUUAAAUAUGCCAAAUUGAGUUUCAUUUUUCAUGCAGAGAUGUGCUAAUUGAAGAGCUUCAAAGAUAUUGUAAUGACCGUUUAACUUUAUAUGAGAAUUAAACAGAUAAUUAAGGUUUAUUGUUAAAAAUAGGCUUUAAAUUAUUAUUUUCAUAAUUUUGAAGAUAUAUUUGAAUUCUAGUCAUAUUAAUUAUGUUAUAUAUGAAAUUUUAUGUUUUUUA